rnacentral:tRNA from 1 species
GUGGGUACAGCUCAGUGGUAGAGCACGUGCUUAGCAUGCACAAAGUCCUGAGUUUGAUCCCCAGUACUUCCA